UAAAUAAAUAUAAUACUUAAUUGUCUUGGCAAAUGAGUUUUGUUAAAUAAUUAUUUCUGCUACAAGAUGCUUUUGUUCUAAAAUAUAGUCUAAGUAGAGUCGAUUCUUAUAAAUAAUUGAGAGAUUGAUUAGUAGCAAAGCAAUAAUGUAAGAAAACGUAAGUAAUGAAAUCAUACAGAAUUAAAACGGCGUUAAUAAAUUUUUGAGCUUGUGUAUAAUAUACACAGUGUAAACAUUGCUCUUUUUGCUUUAGGAUUGAAAUUAUCAUACAUACUCUUAAAAAAAAGACGAUUAAACAACUCAUUUUGGGACCCAGCGCAGUGAUGCCCAGAAUCGAAUCUUUUUGCACCGUCGUGCUGCAUGGGGAGGAUGGCUGGCAGCACGAUGCUGCAAAAAGAUUCGAUACUGGCGUUCGGCAUACCGCGCGGUGUGGCGCCACAUCUGGCGCGUGAAGUUAACCGCGCGGCGCGGCGUCACCUUUGACGCGUGAAGUUGACCGCGCGAGAAAGACGGAGUCGCUUCACUCUGUCUUUUCGUGUAUCACUUUCGGAACGCGACGGACGCAGGAUGGACCGGCUCCGGAACAAGUGGCACCGCGAAUCUCUUAAUUGAUCGUGGCUAGACUGACAUGGAUCGGUGCCGGGGUGAAUAUUGCGCCAUGUCCACUAGAACGCAACGAACGCAGGAUGGACUGACUUCAGAACAAGUGGCAUCGUAAAUCUUUUAAUUGAUCGCGGCAAGUCUGUGAUGGAUCGGUACCGGGGAGAAUGUCGCGCCACGUCCGCUCGUAUCAGAUGAUAGCAGUACUUUCCUUUGGAGCCAAGUCAAGUGUUAACAAACAUCUUUUCACCGACAAUGAGAUGCUCUUGAAAGCUAUUUCGUGCCUCGUAACAUCAAUGAACGUCGUUGUAUCUUGGCGCAUCGUUAGCGUCUAACGUUGUCGAAAGUGGCGCAAGUUAUCAUCCAAACAAGACGUUCGACCAGCUGUACUUCGUCCUGAACGAGUAAAUUUUCCUCGGUACGAGCGAUCAUUACGAUAAAAUAAUGUGAAAAAUGUGCUACGUUUGGCCACCAUCGUUACGCUUUCUUUUACGCCUGUUUAGCUUAAAUGAUGAUUCUUCGCUCUCUUUGCGGCUCUCUUUCUGGGCUUUGUAAAAAUAUUGUCUUCUAUUUUGUAUCCUAAAUACUUUUUUUCAUUGUGAAAUAUUAUCGUUGCUUUUUUUCUGUACAACGGCCAUACAUCGACAUUAAUAAAUGCAAGCACAAUGUGAGUGCGAAACCUAAAGAUCGCUACGUAGCUUUCUUGCUCGUUUCAAAAUUAUGGUUCCGAUAGGACUUCGAAAUAUUAUGCUUUAGUUUUGAAACCUUUGCCGUAGAUAAUUAACUUGCAUCUUGUUCGAUAAUAUGGUAUCUUAUUAAUUUUCCUGUGGCUUUAACCUCUAAUCGAGAAUUUCGAUUUAUAACUUUAAUAGAUGAUCUCAGACAUUCUCAUGAAAGCGAUAUCAAGAGAAGAUAAAAUAUUCAAUCUCAUUGUCAGAAAAAUUUCUUUGACUUAAUUCGAUUUGCGUUUUGUUUUUUUCUUUACACUUAUUCUAUGAUAUUAUGUUACAGAAUAGUGUAUAAACUGAAUUUGAUAUACAUAGUUUUUCCGAUUUUUUCUUUUAAAAAAUUAUUUAAAUCUAUAUCUUUAGAGUGUGUGUGUGUGUGUGUGUGUAAUAAUCUUCAUAUUAUUAAUAUUCUAUAUUAAUAGUACACAAUUAUGGGAAGCUAUAUUUGUCGAAACAAAUUAUUAUUAAUAGAAGUAUGGAAUGGAGAUUAAAAAAUUUAUUUUAAAGUCGGUCUCCAACUUCUUCAGAUUUAGGUCGAAGUGUAUGGAUUUCAUGCUUUAAUCGCUAUAAUCGCUAUAAUUAGCGCUUUACAUCUCUUGCCACCGCUUAGAACGCUGUUGCCGCGGUUAUGACGCGGUUACGAAACGCUUGCACUAUCAUCGGAGAAUUUCAGUAGCAGGUUGAUUAGAUGCAGGAUCUAAGCUCGGAAAUGAGGAAGAAGAUUACGGUAAACGACGCUAGUAGUAUUAAUUGAGGUAUAAGGAAUUUAACACGAAUGAUGUUGCCGACACAAAUUGACUACGUCUAACAGAAAGCAUAAACCUGUUUUCUAAUGUGUCUUGUGAGAUAUUUUUUGAAAUUGAUCGAACUUGACAUUGGACCUUUUAUUUAAGCAUCUCCUCUUCGUAUAAUAUGUGAUUUUUUAAUAAAAAUUUUUAUCUUUCUUUUAAACUUCGCGUUAAUAAAUUGUACUUCUUACACUUUUCUCCUUUGUAAGCUGUUCUUAUCUACACUUAUCUUGCCUUUUUCUGAAGCUUUCAUUUCAUUGCUGUCCGUCUAUUCGGGCAAAUAUUUAUUUCUUCAAACUGUUCAUAAGUCAACACAUUAACGCGAGCGCACAUUGCGCGCACGUAGUGAGAUUUUCACAAAAACGGCGACCAUUUCCGCGCGAUUUUUCUCUAUAGAAGGUUGGGCGUGUGCAGGAGAAAAGAAUUAAGUUUCGCUGGAUGUUUGAAGUAUUCUUACGCCGAAACGAAUGAACUCGUUGCAACUCUGCAAAAGUGAAGAGCGUGAAAUACGCUCGUUGUUAUUUUUAUCUAUAAAACUGUGUUGCUGCGUGUUCAAGAGAGCCGCGCCGUUAGCAGACGAGAGUGAAACGCGGCGCGAAUAAGGCGAAAUAAGUGGGAAUUCUAACUGAUUGUAUUUUUACGAUUGCAUCUUCUAAAUUGCCGUUGAGUGCCGUAAACAAAUGUUCUUCUUAUUCACUCGUGUCGGAAAUCGCGUUACGCCGAAACUAAAUCUACAAAAACAUUGUAACGUUUCGCGUUGUAUCACUUUGGCGUCGAGGCGUCAUUUUUCUUUACGAAUUCUUUCUGAAAACAGGUCGAACGAACGGAAAGGUAUCUGUUCCGUUUUGACGGAACAGGAAUAAAAACAGCAUACCAUUUUCCGGUGUACCUCCGUUUCCUCCCGGCUGUGUCCAUUUCGUCACUCGGUCGAGCAUGCAAUAUGUUCGCACGGGGUAUAUAUACGUGUAAGUGCAUUUCCACUUUGAAAAAAAGCGCGACGCAGAUGGCAGGGCGCGCUGUACGACAGGGAUAAGGGGGAAGGGUGAGGGAGGGGCGGAUACGGAGAAACGGUUAUAAAAAAAAAAAAAGAGGGAUAAAGAAACGGGAACGCGAUUCCCCGCAAUGUAUUUCAGUCAGAAGCGGCUUUUGAAAUUCUGACGCUUCGUCAGUUCUCUUUGGAUGCAUUCGCAGAGUGGCAUUAUCAUCGCUGUAGUUACGAGUACAUCGCGCACGCUUUUUUUCCCUCCCCCGAGUUGCAGCUACAGUUUCGGCUUCUGACGUUUCAUCGCAGCAAGUGGGCAUCGCGUAUAUGGCUCUAGCUCUUUUUUUAAGGACCACUCGGUGCUAAAAGUCCAAUAUUCCUUUUUCUCUUUCUCCGUUUCCUCCUCUCUAUUCUCUCUCUCUCUUUCUCUCUCUCUCUCUCUCUCUCUCUCUCUCUCUCUUUCUCUCUAUCGUUUUAUUUCUCUGUUCUCUGAUGCUUUUUCCUCUCCAUCAACGUUACUCACAUUUCUAGAUUCUGCCUUCAAGAACUUUUCGUUGAAACUCUCGUGGUUGCACGGACGUAUUUAACAGUUAGAACUUACAUAAUAGCGUGAUUUUAAAUGCUGUACUCUAAAACUAUAUCUAGCUUCCUUAACGAUUUUCCGUAUUAUUUUAUAGAUGACUAUUUUUUACGCCACGUUAUAUUCCGUGCGUUCCAGCAAGUUCUGUAUAUAUAAAUGCUUAAGUAUCGCGUCUGUUUUAAGAGUCUAAAUUCCGCGCGCAUGCUUAAAAAAAAAAAAGAUUAUAAUCAUACCGAACGAGGUACUCAUCUCACUAAUCGUAAAAAGGUGUCCUGCUAUUACUUCGAGUGACGAUAAAUGUUUCAAGCUCUUUCGUAAAAUGGGCGACUAUUUGGCAAAUGCUCCCGCGACUACGUUCGUGGCGUCGUUCUCUUUUUCCGCUUUCACAGAUGAGUUGCACGAAAAGGGUAGAGAGAAGUGCAUAUCGAAUGGGGGAUGCAUAAUCAUCGACAACUACGACGACGACAACGACGACGGCGGUGGAUAGGUAUAGGUAGGAAGCGACGUCGAUUGAACAUUGUUUACAUUCGAUCGAGCAAAUCGGCUCGGCGCCGCUUCUUGUUUCUCGGUUCCACGCGUGAACGCGUAAGUGCGGGUGCUUGCACCGUUACAUUAUAUCCGCCGCCACGAAGGAACAUGAACGGAAGGGGGAUGAAGCACUCGACGCUCGACACGGUCAACGUUCUCGCGCGCUGCUGGUCGCGCAGCAACAGCGACAGCGGAAACUCCGCUCUGUCGAGCGCUAAGGAUAGCAAAGCCUGAGAGAUGCCGAGACUCCGAUAUAAUUAAUAAAUCCCAUUCAAACUCCAUUUUAAGUCGUUUCCCACCACGGAGAGUCACGUAAAGGCAAUUAGUUGUUACGGAAGUAUCAUAAAUCCCGUUACUUUUACGAUUAAAAGUACAGAGUUGCGAUAUAUAUUCAACGCUAAAAAAAAAAAGUCGCGUUUAAGGGUUGCUUCAUUUUCAAUGGAACAAAUAUAUAGAACUACCUUCCACAGUUAUAGAAAGAAAUAAUUGAGCACUUGUUAUUAUUUUUCUUUACAUGUACAAGAUUGAAGUCGAUGAUGCAUGAAAAGUAUAGUGAGUUGGUAUGGUUGAAUGAAUAUUUCGCUAUGUGCCGCCCUAUUAAUUCCGUAUCUCGAGAGGCGAAGAGCGCAGCUGCGACCGCGAUACUCUGUAACACUAUCAAUUCUGUGGCGUGGGAGGUUGAAAUGUUUACGUACGAUCGGACUGCCAUUUGUUACACGAUAAAGUAUCAGCCACAACCCCAAACUGCGAGGAAACUUCGGUAAGCGGUCGAAGGACCACUAAAUAUUCCCGCUGAAAAUCGACCGAUAUUUUCCACGUUCAGUCAUAUCGCUGCGGCAUGCGAUGCACGACCGAUUAAUACGGAUGAACGAACUUACGAAAUUAGUGAAUAUAAACUGAAUACUAUUGAACUAAUUGAAAAAUAUUACUGUCAGCAAUAGACAGAAAUACGCAUAACAUUUUUUUUUGUAAUUUUAGAGAGGAUAUUUGAGAAGAGAUAUGAAUUAUUAAAGAUAUAAAGAGAGACUGGAUGAAACAUUUAUAUGUUAAUAUGAAAUUUAAUUUCAACACGUUUCACGAUAUUGUAAUAAGUGUAAAUUUGCUUUCGCGUAAUGAAAUCUUUUAAUAUCGGUGUUUUGCUUACCUAACGUUACACAUAUAUACUCGCUUUAGAGAAACGAAAAAUCAUAUAUCUGUGUGUGUGUGUGUGUGUGUGUGUGUGCGCGUGUGUGUGUGUGUGUGUGUGUGUGUAUGUAUGUCAAAUCCAGAGCGUAGCACUGGAGCGUAGAACCAAGUGCUUGAACGUUAAUGUCGUUUAUCACGUUCUUAUAGUAUCUUGUUAUGGCGUUUCAGAUGAUUAGUUUUACGUAUCGUUGAUACGUGGUGUAUAUACGAAAAACAAAUUUCUGAUCUUUAAAUAGGAAUGGAUCUAUUUUUUUUUAAACGUACAGUGUUUGUAAACUGUGUGUGAAAAUGUUUGAGAAUAAAUAUAUAAACUCUAUCGUAGAGAAUUAUAAUACAAUAUUUUAAAAAUUUUAGAUUAUUCAACAUGUAUUAUAAAUAUAUGAAAUAAUGUAUUAAUGUUAAUUAUAGCAACAAAACAUUUAAAAUGUCUUGUUUUAGGGAAAAUAAGCGAAAAUUAAUAAUUAUCAAUUAUAUUUUGUUUACAAAAAGAUUUUAUAAACUCUUUUUAUAUUAAGUUAUAUAUAUAUAUAUGUAUAUUACUAUUAUUAACCAGAAUUUAUAUUAAUAAAUUAAAUCAUUAAAAGCUAUUAAAAGAGAUUAAUAUUUUAAUAAAUGUUACAUAAAUGUAGAAAGCGUUUUCAACAAAACGCUUUGUGAAAAGCGUUUGUGUAUUGUGGAUAAAAUCCUUCGAAAUAAGCAUUGUAUGUAAUCACAGGAUUUUAUUUUUUUUAUGAUUUUAUGUUAAAUAUGCUUUUCCUAAUAUUUUAUAAAAAAUCUAAAUAUGAAAAUAACGGCAAUGUACAAAUUAUGCUACGAUGUACAAAUCAGGGCGUAGUCUCUCAUGCUUGACGUCAAAAUCACCGAUAGCUUAAUAUAUAAGUAACAUACAGAUAUAAGACAUCCUAUUUUCGUAACAAAUAAAAUGUGAAGUCGGCUGGAAACAGUAGUAUCAAGGAAGCUGAAAGCAAACCCACAAUUGUGGUAUUGUGAGACUGGUGGAGGGUGAAAUAGAGCAGGAGGAGCUUUUUUCCGGUGUCCCACUUCUCACGGCAAUACAAAUACAGUGAUCGAGUCCGUGAGGGCUGCAGGAUCAAAGGUUCCUCCGUCGACCUCAAGCUUCCUCCCUUUUGCCGACUCGCUCCUAGCCGCGGUUCUUGGCGGUUAAACCCGAUGGUGGGGUGGCAGUGGUUUGCCGCUGCCAAUGGUGGUGUAGCUACCACCACCACCACUACCACCACCACCAUCACCACCACCACCAACACCAUCACGUUAGUACUAAAUUAUGUAGCAUAAUGGUGAAACGAAGAGGGAACGCAGGAGCCGGGGAAGGAAACGAGGGAGAAAGCGAAAGAACGAAGGGCACAGAAGCGCUUUUCUGCGCUCCAUUCGUCAAUGUCGUGAACCGCGCUUCUUUUCAGAAUAUCACAAUAAUGGUUAAAGUGAUCCCCUUAAUUCAGUCCUAUUUAUUUUUAUUCGUAUUCGUUUUUCUUUUUCGUCAAAUUCUUCACGUUCAAUUAUGUUGCUCCUUCAGUUUAUGCGGAACAGAAAUGUUUCAAAGGCAAUUAAAUAGCUCUUCAAAUCAAUAGCUUUUGACAUGUCUGAAUAAUCGCGCUCGCAUUUGUUUUUUUUUUAUAUUACAUUAAUAUUUUUUGCUUAUAUAAUUAAAUUUUUUUAGAUCAAUCAAAAUUGACUAUGUACCAAUUUAUACGAUUUUAUGAAAGCAAAUAUAUAUUUUUUAUAUUAUGGACAUCAAUAAGCAUCAGCUGCUGGUGUUGUCGGCCUUGCGACUUUAUUUCGUGAUAGGGGAACGCACGAAGAAAAGUUACAAAGUGGUAUACGAAAGAGAUACCAACGAGCGUAGGACUUCCUAUUCUUAUGUCAUUCGUCAACGUCGAGAAUCAUGCCUUUUCGUAAAGCACUGCUUUGGUAGUGUAAAUGGUGUCGCGAAUACGAUCCUAUUUACUUCUACCUACGCAUUUUCCACCCCACAUUUUAUCCACGACAGCUUACAAGUCCAU
rnacentral:lncRNA from 1 species